UAAUACGUAGGCAGCAAGCGUUGUUCGGAAUUACUGGGCGUAAAGAGUGUGUAGGCGGUGUUCUAAGUUUGUCGUGAAAUCUCCCGGCUUAACUGGGAGGGUGCGGCGAAAACUGGAAUGCUAGAGGAUGGGAGAGGUAAGCGGAAUUCCUGGUGUAGCGGUGAAAUGCGUAGAUAUCAGGAGGAACACCUGUGGUGUAGACAGCUUACUGGACCAUUUCUGACGCUGAGACACGAAAGCGUGGGUAGCAAACA
rnacentral:rRNA from 1 species